rnacentral:rRNA from 1 species
AUGAAGCCGGAAUUGCUAGUAAUGGCAGGUCAGCAUACUGCCGUGAAUACGUUCCCGGGCCUUGUACACACCGCCCGUCACACCAUGAGAGUUGGGAGCGCCCGAAGCCGGUGAGGUAACCGAGAGGAGCCAGCCGUCGAAGGUGAGACCAAUGACUGGGGUGAAGUCGUAACAAGGUAGC